rnacentral:rRNA from 1 species
CCUACGGGAGGCAGCAGUAGGGAAUAUUGCUCAAUGGGGGAAACCCUGAAGCAGCAACGCCGCGUGGAGGAUGAAGGUUUUCGGAUUGUAAACUCCUUUUGUUAGAGAAGAUAAUGACGGUAUCUAACGAAUAAGCACCGGCUAACUCCGUGCCAGCAGCCGCGGUAAUACGGAGGGUGCAAGCGUUACUCGGAAUCACUGGGCGUAAAGAGCGAGUAGGCGGGAUAGCAAGUCAGAUGUGAAAUCCUAGGGCUUAACCAUAGAACUGCAUUUGAAACUGUUAUUCUAGAGUAUGGGAGAGGUAGGUGGAAUUCUUGGUGUAGGGGUAAAAUCCGUAGAGAUCAAGAGGAAUACUCAUUGCGAAGGCGACCUGCUAGAACAUAACUGACGCUGAUGCGCGAAAGCGUGGGGAGCAAACAGGAUUAGAUACCCCAGUAGUC